ACUUGUGAUGCAGGUCAGGGUACAGUAUCUGACUGCAAUCAAUAUGCACUUAAAUGUUUGGAUCAUCUAAACCUCCACUUAGCACAAAGGAUCUCCAGAGAGAACUUUCUUCAGAGCAGAGAAAUUACUAUUCCAGAGCUUAACUAUCUUGAUAUGAAUGGGAAACUUGAGCUUCAAACUACCACAAUUUGUUACUUUAAUAUGAGCUGA
rnacentral:lncRNA from 10 species